AGAGAGUGCAAGCGUUAAUCGGAAUUACUGGGCGUAAAGCGCGCGUAGGGUGGAUAUUUAAGUCGAAUGUGAAAGCCCUAGGCUUAACCUGGGAAUUGCAUUCGAUACUGGGUAUCUAGAGUAUGGUAGGGGAAAGUGGAAUUUCAGGUGUAGCGGUGAAAUGCGUAGAUAUCUGAAGGAACACCAGUGGCGAAGGCGGCUUUCUGGACCAAUACUGACACUGAGGCGCGAAAGCGUGGGGAGCAAACAGGAUUAGAGACCCUGGUAGUCCACGCUGUCAACGAUGAGAACUAGACGUUGGGGGGCGAGCCCCUUAGUGUCGAAGCUAACGCGUUAAGUUCUCCGCCUGGGGAGUACGGCCGCAAAGGCUA
rnacentral:rRNA from 1 species